rnacentral:rRNA from 1 species
AUUGAACGCUGGCGGCAUGCUUUACACAUGCAAGUCGAACGGUAACAGGCCUUCGGGUGCUGACGAGUGGCUAACGGGUGAGUAAUGCAUCGGAACGUACCCAGAGGUGGGGGAUAACGCAGCGAAAGCUGUGCUAAUACCGCAUGUGAUCUGAGGAUGAAAGCGGGGGACCGAGCAGCAAUGUUUGGCCUCGCGCCUUUGGCGCGGCCGAUGUCGGAUUAGCUAGUUGGUGGGGUAAAGGCCUACCAAGGCGACGAUCCGUAGCUGGUCUGAGAGGACGACCAGCCACACUGGGACUGAGACGCGGCCCAGACUCCUACGGGAGGCAGCAGUGGGGAAUGUUGGACAAUGGGCGCAAGCCUGAUCCAGCAAUGCCGCGUGCGGGAAGAAGGCCUUCGGGUUGUAAACCGCUUUUGGCAGGAACGAAACGGUGUCCGCUAAUACCGGGCGCUAAUGACGGUACCUGCAGAAUAAGCACGGGCUAACUACGUG